CAUUGCAGAUAAAAUUUUGGACCUACUCCUUACCAGUUUUGUCGUGGCAUAGUUGCUAAUCUCUAUGAAGAUAUGGGGCACCAUUGUUACGAUAGGUUAAACUUCUUUACUAACAUAUACAAUGAUACAAGAAAGAUAUACAGCCCAGAGAGAAUGAAUACUACGGUACAAUGGAAAACGUAGGGAAAUUGCACAUAGCGGAAUACUUUUGAGUUUUCUCCUCUUCGUCACUCAUUGCCGGAACAAAACCUGCUGCUGGAUAGCAAAGACAACUCUUAUGAAGUUCGUACCACAUUAAAACCCCUGAUGGACGCCACUAUCAAAUUAAUAUGUGGCUUUAAUAGAUGAGUUAACCCAUAUUGUACUAAAAAGGUUCUUGAAUUCUGUUGCUUUGCUCUACAUUAGGGAUCUCAAACCUCUUCUGCACAAGGGCCACGUUGUUAAUUUUUCGAGACCGAGCAGCAGCUACUGUUGCCACAAGAAAGAUGUUUAUUUCGAAACUAAUGAAGAUCAUUCCCAUGUUGUUGACAAAAAGAAAAUCAGAAGAGAAAAAAAAAGCUAAAUGUGUAAAGAACUUCAUAAACAAAGCCAAGAAGAACGCAAUAAUUAUUUUAUUUUGAUGGAAGGAAGAUUAAUACCCUUUUAAUUGAGUAUGUCAACCAAAAGAUUUUCAAAGAACCAUAAAAUAAGAACAUUAUUCUACAAAUACAAUAUUCCGAAUCUGUUUAUGUUGACCACGCUACACCCUCAAGUGAGUCUGCUCAAACCAUGGCUAAUAGCAUUAUCUCUCGUUUGACUGAAUGUGGUUUUUGUUUGGACGAAUUUGAUGUCUUGAGAUGUAACUGUACUUCUUUUUAAAUACUUCUUUUUCUUUAUCACGUUUAAAUGAUUCCUUCCGGUAACUUUUUGCAAUGCAGUUCUUUUCUCUCUUUUUUUAUAGUAAUAAUGUUAGUAUAAUAAA